rnacentral:lncRNA from 1 species
UCUUUCCCAUCAUCUCCUAAGUAAUCUGAUGGUUUUCCAGUGGCUUUCGUUAUUGUUGCGUCUUUGGCAAGGCUAUAGAAUCCAGGGAUCCAAAUAUGGAGAUAAACAGGCUUUUAAUCCAAAGUUUGGGCCUACUCUUAAUUGGUCCAUUUUGUGUUUUAGUUGGUCAAGGAUAAUCCACACCUCAGAGGGCUUUGUGUACUAGUAGUUGCCAUGGUGACUACAGUGUGGGCGAUUUGUUGGAUGAAUGCACUGGCCAUUUAAUGCCCUUGAGCUUCCAGUUCAGAUCUUUCACCAGACUGGAGGCUCAAUGAGGGGCAGCGGGUGGCAACCUCCUAGUGCCUACGUGCAGACACAUCUGUCUCUUAUUCCAAAGCAGCAGGGAUGUGAAGUGACUUCCGGAAGGAACCCCACCGUGAACCGGAAGGAAGGGGUUGGUUUGGGGAGUUUGCACACGGAACUCUUGUUGUUGGAUGGAUCUUCAGCCCUGGAAAGACUAUGCAUUUAUAAAACUGUACCCAGCUGCACUGGUGUCAGGGGACAUCGUAAACCUGUGAGGACUGUUCAGUUUGCUGAGGCUGAUGGUAUACUGUAACUGAGCAUGAUAUCCAUGGUCACUCACUGACCAUGAAGUUGAUGGAAAGAAGAAAUAGGCAAGAGGCAGAAUAACUUAGCCACUCUCCUGAGGAUUUUUUCUAAAUGAACAUGUUUAACACCAAAAAAGAGUUACCUCUAGUGCGUACCUACAAGGAUAUGAAAGCUGGAAAACUUGACUUUUCUUUUUUUGGUAACGACUUGCUUUAUCUGGUGCCUUUCAUUGGGGGAAUCCCAAAGUGCUUUAGAAACUGUCUUUUUAACAUUUCUUGUACAUAUAUGUAUACUUGUAAAAGAAUAUUCCUUUGCCCACC